CAGUAGCCGCGGUAAUACAGAGGGUGCGAGCGUUAAUCGGAUUUACUGGGCGUAAAGCGUGCGUAGGCGGCUUCUUAAGUCGGAUGUGAAAUCCCUGAGCUUAACUUAGGAAUUGCAUUCGAUACUGGGAAGCUAGAGUAUGGGAGAGGAUGGUAGAAUUCCAGGUGUAGCGGUGAAAUGCGUAGAGAUCUGGAGGAAUACCGAUGGCGAAGGCAGCCAUCUGGCCUAAUACUGACGCUGAGGUACGAAAGCAUGGGGAGCAAACAGGAUUAGAUACCCCUGUAGUCCUUGUCUCUUAUAA
rnacentral:rRNA from 1 species